ACAUCAACCUCUUGAAACAGUUAUUCUUUUGGGACCCGUAGCAUAUGUGUAGACAUGUGCACACAAAGAUAGAAGAUAUGCAAGUUCAUCAUGGAAGAAAGAAGGCAGACCAGCUCCAUGAACCAAGGUGCAGCUCCCAGCUCACUAUACUUGAGGCCACUGCAGUGCCACUUCACAUGGUGCAGGAGUAAACAUUGACCUUGCAGGUCUGAAAACAUCUGCCUUUAGUUAUUUCUCAUUUUGGAGAAAGAAGAUUUUGAAACUGAAGAUUUAAGUAAUUUGCCAGAGUCAGAAUGCUGUAAGCAUCAGAACUCGAUUUUCGAACUUAAGUUUAUCUGACUCAAAAGCUUUUGCCUUUCACCACCACCCUAUUGCUUCUAAAAUGUCAAACAUCGGCUGAACCACAGGACAGGUAUCCUAUAAAUGAGGAGGAUGUGGAUGCACCCCCAUGUGUACGUAAGGACACACGAGCUAAAGGCUUUACCUGACCCAGUAAAAGUGUCAAGCGCUCCAUCUCCAGUCGUGGCUGUGGUUUCACUGCUGUUCAAGGGCUCUGUUUUGACUGCAAGAAGAGACACUACGUAGAAGAAUAAGUACAUAAAAUAAGCUGCAUUCAUACUAAGUGAGCAUCAACAAGCACCUCUUGAUCUCUAAGACAGCAAACCAAAAUCAUUACAUGCAAUAAAAUGGAAGCAAAAUCCUUUUAUAGAAGACAAGCACCGUAUUUCUCAACCAAAUGCAAGCUUACACACCAAAUGUUUUGAUUUCAAAAGAAACAAUAUUUUAAUGUCCUAGGUUGAAGAGUUUUGUGGGAUUAUUAUUCUGUAUCUUCAAAGUAAGUGAGUCAGAGCUCGUUUUGCUAAAAGUGGCAUAAAAUUACUUUCUAUACCACUUUGUCGAGAACCGUUAAGAAAUCCUUGUACUGUCAGGUCCCCCUCCCCACUAGUUAGCUACUUGCAAUUUGGAUGUUUCUGAUAGAGUCAAAUGGUAAAAAUAAAUAAACAUACAUGA
rnacentral:lncRNA from 1 species